AUUGAACGCUGGCGGCAGGCCUAACACAUGCAAGUCGAACGGUAACAGGAAACAGCUUGCUGUUUCGCUGACGAGUGGCGGACGGGUGAGUAAUGUCUGGGAAACUGCCUGAUGGAGGGGGAUAACUACUGGAAACGGUAGCUAAUACCGCAUAACGUCGCAAGACCAAAGAGGGGGACCUUCGGGCCUCUUGCCAUCGGAUGUGCCCAGAUGGGAUUAGCUAGUAGGUGAGGUAACGGCUCACCUAGGCGACGAUCCCUAGCUGGUCUGAGAGGAUGACCAGCCACACUGGAACUGAGACACGGUCCAGACUCCUACGGGAGGCAGCAGUGGGGAAUAUUGCACAAUGGGCGCAAGCCUGAUGCAGCCAUGCCGCGUGUAUGAAGAAGGCCUUCGGGUUGCAAAGUACUUUCAGCGGGGAGGAAGGGAGUAAAGUUAAUACCUUUGCUCAUUGACGUUACCCGCAGAAGAAGCACCGGCUAACUCCGUGCCAGCAGCCGCAGUAA
rnacentral:rRNA from 1 species